rnacentral:rRNA from 1 species
GUAGCGGUGAAAUGCGUAGAUAUAUGGAGGAAUACCAGUGGCGAAGGCGGCCUCCUGGCUCGAUACUGACGCUGAGGUGCGAAAGCGUGGGGAUCAAACAGGAUUAGAUACCCUGGUAGUCCACGCCGUAAACGAUGUCUACUAGCCGUUGGGAGACUUGAUUUCUUAGUGGCGCAGCUAACGCAAUAAGUAGACCGCCUGGGGAGUACGGCCGCAAGGUUAAAACUCAAAUGAAUUGACGGGGGCCCGCACAAGCGGUGGAGCAUGUGGUUUAAUUCGAUGCAACGCGAAGAACCUUACCAGGUCUUGACAUCCUGCGAAUUUUCUAGAGAUAGAUUAGUGCCUUCGGGAACGCAGUGACAGGUGCUGCAUGGCUGUCGUCAGCUCGUGUCGUGAGAUGUUGGGUUAAGUCCCGUAACGAGCGCAACCCUUGUCCUUAGUUGCCAGCACAUAAUGGUGGGAACUCUAAGGAGACUGCCGGUGACAAACCGGAGGAAGGUGGGGACGACGUCAAGUCAUCAUGGCCCUUACGACCUGGGCUACACACGUGCUACAAUGGAACGCACAGAGGGCUGCAAAGGCGCGAGCUGGAGCGAAUCCCACAAAACGUUUCGUAGUCCGGAUUGGAGUCUGCAACUCGACUCCAUGAAGUCGGAAUCGCUAGUAAUCGUGAAUCAGAAUGUCACGGUGAAUACGUUCCCGGGCCUUGUACACACCGCCCGUCACACCAUGGGAGUGGGUUGCAAAAGAAGUGGGUAGACUAACCUUCGGGAGGUCGCUCACCACUUUGUGAUUCAUGACUGGGGUGAAGUCGUAACAAGGUAACCGUA